AUCCAAUCCGACCGUCCACUUGAUGUGGAAUUUUGCAUGAAAUUGUCAAUGCAAGUCUUCUAAAUGCUCAAGAAUUUUUAGCCCAAUCCAACUUACAAAUUGUGAGAAAACCUCCAAAAAUUGUACCAAUAUCACUAGGCCACCAACUGGAAAAGUGAAGUAGAAAUCCUAGCAAUGAUUUCUCCUUUUAUGACCAUUAACUUUGUCUCAAAAUUGGUGCGUAUCUUGAUCUUUAAGUCCUCCAAUACCAUGCCAAUUUUUACUUUAAUCCAAUUGAUAGAUCUUUAGAUAUCAUAGAAACCCUACCCAACCUCAAACUGCCACCUUCUGAAACCCUCUUUUGCUAAAAACUAGAUAUCUCUAAACCAUGCCGUUAGAUUAUCAGAAAAUUUUGUAUACACUUGGCACACCCAAUAAUCCAAAUAAUAUUAAAUUUUCAACCAUAGAUGUCAUGCCAAUUGUACGAACUAGCCAAAAUUUCUAGUCCUAAUUAUAUUAUAUAAAAUCCAAAUUGCUGAUACAAACUUUGACUUUGAACAAUAAUUGCUAAGUCCUCCAAAACCCUCUCAAAACAAUUCUUAUGCCUUUGGAAAGAACUUCAAGC
rnacentral:lncRNA from 1 species